AGACCCGAAACCCGGUGAUCUAGCCAUGGGCAGGUUGAAGGUUGGGUAACACUAACUGGAGGACCGAACCGACUAAUGUUGAAAAAUUAGCGGAUGACCUGUGGCUGGGGGUGAAAGGCCAAUCAAACCGGGAGAUAGCUGGUUCUCCCCGAAAGCUAUUUAGGUAGCGCCUCGUGAAUUCAUCUCCGGGGGUAGAGCACUGUUUCGGCUAGGGGGCCAUCCCGGCUUACCAACCCGAUGCAAACUGCGAAUACCGGAGAAUGUUAUCACGGGAGACACACGGCGGGUGCUAACGUCCGUCGUGAAGAGGGAAACAACCCAGACCGCCAGCUAAGGUCCCAAAGUCAUGGUUAAGUGGGAAACGAUGUGGGAAGGCCCAGACAGCCAGGAUGUUGGCUUAGAAGCAGCCAUCAUUUAAAGAAAGCGUAAUAGCUCACUGGUCGAGUCGGCCUGCGCGGAAGAUGUAACGGGGCUAAACCAUGCACCGAAGCUGCGGCAGCGACGCUGAUGCGUUGUUGGGUAGGGGAGCGUUCUGUAAGCCUGCGAAGGUGGCCUGUGAGGGUUGCUGGAGGUAUCAGAAGUGCGAAUGCUGACAUAAGUAACGAUAAAGCGGGUGAAAAGCCCGCUCGCCGGAAGACCAAGGGUUCCUGUCCAACGUUAAUCGGGGCAGGGUGAGUCGACCCCUAAGGCGAGGCCGAAAGGCGUAGUCGAUGGGAAACGGGUUAAUAUUCCCGUACUUGGUGUUACUGCGAAGGGGGGACGGAGAAGGCUAUGUUGGCCGGGCGACGGUUGUCCCGGUUUAAGCGUGUAGGCUGGUUUU
rnacentral:rRNA from 1 species